GCCGGGGCGUCCCCCGCGGGAGCCCGCAGCCACCCGGGACGCGCAUCCAGACGUGGCGCUUCGGACCGGGCACGCUGCGCCCGGGGGCUCGGCGGACCCCGCGUAGCCGCCGCUUCGGAGCUUGUGCGGCGCGGGCUGGCCAGCGGGGCGGCCAGGGCCCGGCCCGCCUCCCCAGCGCCCGCCCGGCUUCUCCCCCUGGCGGUGGGAGCCUCGGCGGCCGCUGGCGACACUAGGCGCACUGAAGCCCGAGCCGAGCCGAGCCCGAGCCGCCGCCGCCGCCGCCGCUGCUGCGCACCGCUCCCGGGCUCCCUCCCAGCGCGCCGGCCGGGGUGUGGGGGGCGGCGGGCCGGAGGGGCGAGGGCGGGCCAGGGGGCGCACACGGGGGUUGGCGCGGAAGACAGGACCCUCAGCCUCGAGGGAGCCCCUAGGUGACCAGGCAAAAUGGCAGUUCCUUCCAGCUGGUCCUCAGAUGGGCACAUCUAUUAGCCUCUGCUCUUGUAAGAAGUUAGCUGCAGAACCCACAUGUGAAUCCUUGUAGGACUCUGGAGAAGAUCAAAUGGGAGCUUAGAUGUGGAAGCUCUUUGGAAACCAAGAAACACUCUGAAAAUGAAAAGGGUGGAAGAGUAAACUGUUCCUGUUUCUCCAUCUUGACAGGAAGCAGAAGUUCUCCUUAGCUGAUUUUUCUUCUUGCCUUAUACUGGGUUCUUUAACACCAGAACAAAAAUAAAUAAAUAAAAGAAUCUUCCAGAAAUUCAUGAAGAGACUUCAGGUCAGGAAAGCCUGAACUUUCUCAUCCAACACCCGUUCAAGUCGGAGGAUGCUGAUUAAUUCAUGAUGGAAAGGUAUCAAUUUCACAGCCCAGACCUCUACAUUCUUGAAAUGCUCUUCUCAUGGGAGACAUUAAAUAAGCUUUGAAUUAACUAAAAAUAUCCAACCCGAGCAGGAUAAAACUGAUCAUCCUGAGGAUAUUGCCCUUGGAGUUAAUUUUUUGAGAGAAAUAAAACAAUAAACAUCAUAAGACACAAACCCCAAGCAACUGAUCUCACUGUUAAAAUCCAACCUGAGAACAAUGGAAUGGAUUGCGCUCUCUAGAAGAAAAUUCUGAGAAAAAAAUUCAUAUGCAAGAAAUUUACUGGGGAGUGCUCUCAGACUCUGAACUGUGAAGAAAAAGGAUUGGACAGGGCUAGUAGAAGUCUAUAUGUUGUGGUGGAAAACAACCUCAGCCCUAUAGUCCAACAUUUGCCUAUCAAAACUUGUCCUAUGAUUUACAAAACUAGAACCUCACUGCCCCACCAAAAGAUGAAGUGGCCCCCAGACCCCAGGUCUAAU
rnacentral:lncRNA from 1 species